GACGAACGCUGGCGGCGUGCUUAACACAUGCAAGUCGAACGGAAAGGCCCUGCUUUUGUGGGGUGCUCGAGUGGCGAACGGGUGAGUAACACGUGAGUAACCUGCCAUUGACUUUGGGAUAACUUCAGGAAACUGGGGCUAAUACCGGAUAGGAGCUCCUGCUGCAUGGUGGGGGUUGGAAAGUUUCGGCGGUUGGGGAUGGACUCGCGGCUUAUCAGCUUGUUGGUGGGGUAGUGGCUUACCAAGGCUUUGACGGGUAGCCGGCCUGAGAGGGUGACCGGCCACAUUGGGACUGAGAUACGGCCCGGACUCCUACGGGAGGCAGCAGUGGGGAAUAUUGCACAAUGGGCGGAAGCCUGAUGCAGCAACGCCGCGUGCGGGAUGACGGCCUUCGGGUUGUAAACCGCUUUCGCCUGUGACGAAGCGUGAGUGACGGUAAUGGGUAAAGAAGCACCGGCUAACUACGUG
rnacentral:rRNA from 1 species